rnacentral:rRNA from 1 species
AGUGAACGCUGGCGGCAGGCCUAACACAUGCAAGUCGAACGGCAGCACAGUGGAGCUUGCUCCAUGGGUGGCGAGUGGCGGACGGGUGAGGAAUACAUCGGAAUCUGCCCAGUCGUGGGGGAUAACAUAGGGAAACUUAUGCUAAUACCGCAUACGACCUACGGGUGAAAGCGGGGGAUCGCAAGACCUCGCGCGAUUGGAUGAGCCGAUGUCCGAUUAGCUAGUUGGCGGGGUAAUGGCCCACCAAGGCGACGAUCGGUAGCUGGUCUGAGAGGAUGAUCAGCCACACUGGAACUGAGACACGGUCCAGACUCCUACGGGAGUCAGCAGUGGGGAAUAUUGGACAAUGGGCGCAAGCCUGAUCCAGCCAUGCCGCGUGGGUGAAGAAGGCCUUCGGGUUGUAAAGCCCUUUUGUCCGGAAAGAAAAGCCUCGGAUUAAUACCCUGGGGUGAUGACGGUACCGGAAGAAUAAGCACCGGCUAACUUCGUGCCAGCCGCCGCUGUAAUAC